UGGGGAAUAUUGCACAAUGGGCGCAAGCCUGAUGCAGCCAUGCCGCGUGUGUGAAGAAGGCCUUCGGGUUGUAAAGCACUUUCAGCGAGGAGGAAGGUGGUGAGCUUAAUACGCUCAUCAAUUGACGUUACUCGCAGAAGAAGCACCGGCUAACUCCGUGCCAGCAGCCGCGGUAAUACGGAGGGUGCAAGCGUUAAUCGGAAUUACUGGGCGUAAAGCGCACGCAGGCGGUUUGUUAAGUCAGAUGUGAAAUCCCCGGGCUCAACCUGGGAACUGCAUUUGAAACUGGCAAGCUAGAGUCUCGUAGAGGGGGGUAGAAUUCCAGGUGUAGCGGUGAAAUGCGUAGAGAUCUGGAGGAAUACCGGUGGCGAAGGCGGCCCCCUGGACGAAGACUGACGCUCAGGUGCGAAAGCGUGGGGAGCAAACAAGAUUAGAUACCCUGGUAGUCCACGCUGUAAAACGAUGUCGAUUUUGGAGGUUGUGCCCCUUGAGGCGUGGCUUCCGGAGCUAACGCGUUAAAUCGACCG
rnacentral:rRNA from 1 species